rnacentral:tRNA from 1 species
CCUGGUGGCUCAGAUGGUAAAGAAUCUGCCUGCAAUGCAGGCAACCCAGGUUCAACCCCUGGGUCAGGA